GAUAGAUGCCGAGACCCGGCGCGUUUUUAAAAACGCAACUACAAAUAAAAUUUAUUUGCAAAAAAUCAUUUUUUAA
rnacentral:sRNA from 16 species